rnacentral:rRNA from 1 species
UACUGCUCAGUAACACGUGGAUAACCUGCCCUUGGGUCCGGCAUAACCCCGGGAAACUGGGGAUAAUUCCGGAUAACGCACAUAUGCUGGAAUGCUUUAUGCGUCAAAUGGAUUCGUCUGCCCAAGGAUGGGUCUGCGGCCUAUCAGGUAGUAGUGGGUGUAAUGUACCUACUAGCCGACGACGGGUACGGGUUGUGAGAGCAAGAGCCCGGAGAUGGAUUCUGAGACAUGAAUCCAGGCCCUACGGGGCGCAGCAGGCGCGAAAACUUUACAAUGCGGGAAACCGUGAUAAGGGGACACCGAGUGCCAGCAUCAUAUGCUGGCUGUCCAGGUGUGUAAAAUACACCUGUUAGCAAGGGCCGGGCAAGACCGGUGCCAGCCGCCGCGGUAACACCGGCGGCCCGAGUGGUGAUCGUGAUUAUUGGGUCUAAAGGGUCCGUAGCCGGUUUGGUCAGUCCUCCGGGAAAUCUGAUAGCUCAACUAUUAGGCUUUCGGGGGAUACUGCCAGACUUGGAACCGGGAGAGGUAAGAGGUACUACAGGGGUAGGAGUGAAAUCUUGUAAUCCCUGUGGGACCACCUGUGGCGAAGGCGUCUUACCAGAACGGGUUCGACGGUGAGGGACGAAAGCUGGGGGCACGAACCGGAUUAGAUACCCGGGUAGUCCCAGCCGUAAACGAUGCUCGCUAGGUGUCAGGCAUGGCGCGACCGUGUCUGGUGCCGCAGGGAAGCCGUGAAGCGAGCCACCUGGGAAGUACGGCCGCAAGGCUGAAACUUAAAGGAAUUGGCGGGGGAGCACAAUCA